UUCGAUCAUGGCUCCAGAUUGAACGCUGGCGGGAUCGCUGCAUACAGUCGAACAGCGGCACCUGGACAGUCUGGUGGCGAGUGGCGAACGGGUGAGUAAUGUAUCGGAACGUGCCUAGUAGCGGGGGAUAACUACGCGAAAGCGUAGCUAAUACCGCAUACGCCCUUCGGGGAAAAGCGGGGGACGUUCGGGCCUCGCACUAUUAGAGCGGCCGAUAUCGGAUUAGCUAGUUGGUGGGGUAACGGCUCGCAAGGCGACUGGCAAUCCAUGAACUGGUUCGAAGGGACGACCAGCCACACUGGGACAGACACGGCCAGACUCCUACGGGAGGCAGCGGUGAAAUUUUGGACCAAUGGAAACCCUGAUCCAGCCAUCCCGCGUGUGCGAUGAAGGCCUUCGGGUUGUAAAGCACUUUUGGCAGGAGAAAAGAAACGGCCUGGGAUAAUACCCCAUGCAACUGACGGUACCUGCAGAAUAAGCACCGGCUAACUACGUGCCAGCAAUGUUAUGAUAAUACGUAGGGUACAAGCGUUAAUCGGAAUUACUGGGCGUAAAGCGUGCGCGAGCGGUUCGGAAGAAGAUGAAAUCCCAGAGCUUAACUUUGGAACUGCAUUUUUAACUACCGAGCUAGAGUGUGUCAGAAGUGGGAGUCCCGCAAUACCAGCAGUGAAAUGCGUAGAUAUGCGGAGGAACACCGAUAGCGAAGGCAGCCUCCUGGGAUAACACUGACGCUCAUGCACGAAAGCGUGGGAGCAAACGGAUUAGAUACCCUGGUAGUCCACGCCCUAAACGAUGUCAACUAGCUGUUGGGGCCUUCGGGCCUUGGUAGCGCAGCUAACACGUGAAGUUGACCGCCUGGGGAAGUACGGUCGCAAGAUUAAAACUCAAAGGAAUUGACGGGGACCCGCACAAGCGGUGGAUGAUGUGGAUUAAUUCGAUGCAACGCGAAAAACCUUACCUACCCUUGACAUGUCUGGAAUCCCGAAGAGAUUUGGGAGUGUCGCAAGAGAACCGGAACACAGGUGCUGCAUGGCUGUCGUCAAGCUCGUGUCGUGAGAUGUUGGGUUAAGUCCGCAACGAGCGCAACCCUUGUCAUUAGUUGCUACGAAGGGCACUCUAAUGAGACUGCCGGUGACAAACCGGAGGAAGAUUGGGGAUGACGUCAAGUCCUCAUGGCCCAUGGGUAGGGCUUCACACGUCAUACAAUGGUCAGGACAGAGGGUCGCCAACCCGCGAGGGGGGCCAAUCCCAGAAACCCGAUCGUAGUCGGAUCGCAGUCUGCAACUCGACGUGAAGUCAGAAUCGCUAGUAAUCGCGGAUCAGCAUGUCGCGGUGAAUACGUUCCGGGUCUGCCACCCGCACCGCCGUCUACAUGAGGUGGUUUUACGAAGUAGUUAACCUAACCGUAGGGAGGGCGAUUACCGGUAAGUUCAUGACUGGGGUGAAGUCGUAACAAGGUAG
rnacentral:rRNA from 1 species